GACGAACGCUGGCGGCGUGCUUAACACAUGCAAGUCGAACGGUGAAGCGCCUUCCUUUUUGGUGGGUGUGGAUGAGUGGCGAACGGGUGAGUAACACGUGAGUAACCUGCCCCCUUCUUCUGGAUAACCGCAUGAAAGUGUGGCUAAUACGGGAUAUUCUGGGUCUGUCGCAUGAUGGGUCUGGGAAAGAUAUUGUUUCGGUGGGGGAUGGGCUCGCGGCCUAUCAGCCUGUUGGUGGGGUGAUGGCCUACCAAGGCGGUGACGGGUAGCCGGCCUGAGAGGGUGGACGGUCACACUGGGACUGAGACACGGCCCAGACUCCUACGGGAGGCAGCAGUGGGGAAUAUUGCACAAUGGGCGCAAGGCUGAUGCAGCGACGCCGCGUGAGGGAUGGAGGCCUGCGGGUUGUGAACCUCUUUCGCCAGUGAAGCAGGCCUGCCUCGUUUGUGGGUGGGUUGACGGUAGCUGGAUAAGAAGCGCCGGCUAACUACGUG
rnacentral:rRNA from 1 species